GGUUUGUGCCUUUCAUUCGCUUCAAAAUCUCGCGCUUGUGCGGUUGUGCGGAGCGGACGAGUUGGAAAAGAAAAACCAGCGGAGGUUCAAUAUUUUCUGUUCGGGCGCAUUGUUUGAGGCUCGUUUGGAGAACUGCAGGCGUUCAAAACUCGGAAUCGAAAUCGAAUAAUAUCCCACAUCAAAAUUUCCAAUUCACAACGCUCGCAAGUCGAAAGUGAAAUUCGUCGACGCAACGGUAAAUCAAAGUCAACGCGAUUUUUGUUCAAUGAAUGGAAUAGCAACCAAACACAAAUCCCGCUUAAUUAAUCAAAUUCAAUUGCAAAUUAUUGAAGCCGCUUAAAGUUUCUGAUCGUAAUAAUUAGCAUUGCAAAGCUGAUGCUAAAGUGUUUAACAGUUUAACAAAAAUAACAGGAAAAUCGGUGAUUUGGUGUGCAAUAAGUUGAGAAAACCAGAAACCAAAACAGAGCCACAGAUCCGGAGAUUGCAGACGAAAGAAGUUUCGAAAUCUUUAUGUUUGAUAAGAACAUAUAGUGAGAAACUAUUCAUCACGAGCUUAUAUAAUUUAAGCAGACGUCUCAAGAAAUUGCGCAAGACUAAACCUUUUUUGUUUUGGACAAGUUGGCCCCAACAACCAAAACAAAUGCAAAUGUGCGCCCCAAAGACAUAUUACCA